AGAGUUUGAUCCUGGCUCAGAUUGAACGCUGGCGGCAUGCUUUACACAUGCAAGUCGAACGGCAGCACGGGUGCUUGCACCUGGUGGCGAGUGGCGAACGGGUGAGUAAUGCACCGGAACGUACCCAGUAAUGGGGGAUAACACAUCGAAAGAUGUGCUAAUACCGCAUACGCCCUGAGGGGGAAAGCGGGGGAUCGUAAGACCUCGCGUUAUUGGAGCGGCCGAUGCCGGAUUAGCUAGUUGGUGAGGUAAGAGCUCACCAAGGCGACGAUCCGUAGCUGGUCUGAGAGGACGACCAGCCACACUGGGACUGAGACACGGCCCAGACUCCUACGGGAGGCAGCAGUGGGGAAUUUUGGACAAUGGGCGCAAGCCUGAUCCAGCCAUGCCGCGUGAGUGAAGAAGGCCUUCGGGUUGUAAAGCUCUUUCGCAAGGAAAGAAAUCUUAUCU
rnacentral:rRNA from 1 species